ACGAGUCCCAACUCUUCUUCUUCUUCUCUUCCUUUCUCUGCGUCUCUCUCCAAAUCGGAAGACUUUCGUCACCGUCGGUUUUAUUUAUCUCUGACGUAAUUCACCGGAGAAUCUUCAUUUUCAUCUAAAUUCGAGGUGGAUUCAUUAACCUCAUUCGGGUGCAAGAAUGUCAGAUUCUUGUGAAGUUAAAGAGCCUCACCCUGCUGUUGAGAAAGAGUUUAAGUCACAGGAAGGCCAAACGACUCAACUCAAACAAAAGAACGCUUGAUGAAGCAAGCCUCCAAAAAACAAACCUCCGGUUUAGAAACCGUCAAGAAGAUGGCCAAACCAACAGCCAGGAAGACUGAGUUUAAGACAACAUAGGAGGAGGUGGAGGAUGCAUUGCCUCUAGCAUGUUCCAUUUGCAGAAAACCAUUCUUGAAUCCAGUUGUAACAAACUGAAACCGUUACUUCUGCAAUCUUUGUGCCCUAAUGCACCACGAGAAGAACACCAAUUGUUUUGUGUGUAACCAGCCAACCAUUGGAGUUUUCAAAGCUGCCGUGGACAUCAAGAAAAUGAUAGUCAACGUACGUCUGAAAGCCAGAGGUUCGUACAAUUAUGUCUA